AAAGGCUCUGAGUUUCUCAGCAGAAAAGAAGCUGGAAGAACUAGGGCCGUCCUGUUUAUCCGCUGUUGCUGUUCCUCUUUCCGUGGCUGGGGUUACCCAAAGUCAACUGCUGUUGGGAAGCAGAUGCUCCUCCUCCUGACGUCUCCUUGGAAGGUCAAGGGUAGCCUAACGCUGUGUGACAGUGCCUGUGACCAUCACCGCACUUCAUCUCAUCACGCAGGCAUUUCUUCAGGUCACCUCAUCCCAAGAGAAAGGGAACAGGAAACACUGCCAUAAGGAAGAAGUACUCUUUUUAUACACCGUGUUGAUCCAAAAUGGACAGCCUUCUUCAAUGGCUCCCACUUCCAUAAUGGAGUGAAGUAAGAAGCAGUAGUUAAAGCUGCCUGGCUCCCCUGUGUAGCUGUGUGACCUCAGAGCCGAGGCAAGACGUCCUGACCCGCAUUGUUCCUGCCCCAGACCUUGGAUCUGCCAAAUCCACAAGGAUCUCUGCUUCCUGUUAGGGGGAGGCAACAUUUACACACAAAACUGCUUUCCCUGAAGACUGAUAAUCAAAGGGAAGAAAAAGAAACUUUUUGUCUUGCUUUUCUGGUACAAGCUCUACUUUGGAGUAAACAAGGAGCCCCAGAAGACUAAGGGAAGCUC